rnacentral:rRNA from 1 species
GAUGAACGCUGGCGGCGUGCCUAAUACAUGCAAGUCGAACGCUUCACUUCGGUGAAGAGUGGCGAACGGGUGAGUAAUACAUAAGUAACCUGGCAUCUACAGGGGGAUAACUGAUGGAAACGUCAGCUAAGACCGCAUAGGUGUAGAGAUCGCAUGAACUCUAUAUGAAAAGUGCUACGGGACUGGUAGAUGAUGGACUUAUGGCGCAUUAGCUGGUUGGUAGGGUAACGGCCUACCAAGGCGACGAUGCGUAGCCGACCUGAGAGGGUGACCGGCCACACUUGGACGGAGACACGGCCCAGACUCCUACGGGAGGCAGCAGUAGGGAAUUUUCGGCAAUGGGGGAAACCCUGACCGAGCAACGCCGCGUGAAGGAAGAAGUAAUUCGUUAUGUAAACUUCUGUCAUAGAGGAAGAACGGUGGAUAUAGGGAAUGAUAUCCAAGUGACGGUACUCUAUAAGAAAGCCACGGCUAACUACGUGCCAGCCGCCGCGGUAAUAC